UACGUAGGUUGCGAGCGUUAAUCGGAAUUACUGGGCGUAAAGCGUGCGCAGGCGGUUCGUUGUGUCGGCGGGGAAAGCCCCGGGCUCAACCUGGGAAUGGCCGUUGAAACUGGCGAACUGGAGUGUGGCAGAGGGGGGUGGAAUUCCGCGUGUAGCAGUGAAAUGCGUAGAGAUGCGGAGGAACACCGAUGGCGAAGGCAGCCCCCUGGGCUGACACUGACGCUCAGGCACGAAAGCGUGGGGAGCAAACAGG
rnacentral:rRNA from 1 species